GUUCAGACUGCAGGCUGCAACUCGCCUGCACGAAGUCGGAAUUGCUAGUAAUCGUAGGUCAGCAUACUACGGUGAAUACGUUCCCGGGCCUUGUACACACCGCCCGUCAAACCAUGAGAGUUGGCAACACCCGAAGUCGGUAGUCUAACCGCAAGGAGGACGCCGCCGAAGGUGGGGUUGAUGAUUAGGGUUAAGUCGUAACAAGGUACC
rnacentral:rRNA from 1 species